GAUGAACGCUGGCGGCGUGCCUAAUACAUGCAAGUCGAGCGAACGGACGAGAAGCUUGCUUCUCUGAUGUUAGCGGCGGACGGGUGAGUAACACGUGGAUAACCUACCUAUAAGACUGGGAUAACUUCGGGAAACCGGAGCUAAUACCGGAUAAUAUUUUGAACCGCAUGGUUCAAAAGUAAAAGACGGUCUUGCUGUCACUUAUAGAUGGAUCCGCGCUGCAUUAGCUAGUUGGUAAGGUAACGGCUUACCAAGGCAACGAUGCAUAGCCGACCUGAGAGGGUGAUCGGCCACACUGGAACUGAGACACGGUCCAGACUCCUACGGGAGGCAGCAGUAGGGAAUCUUCCGCAAUGGGCGAAAGCCUGACGGAGCAACGCCGGGUGAGUGAUGAAGGUCUUCGGAUCGUAAAACUCUGUUAUUAGGGAAGAACAUAUGUGUAAGUAACUGUGCACAUCUUGACGGUACCUAAUCAGAAAGCCACGGCUAACUACGUG
rnacentral:rRNA from 1 species